UUGGCAGUAAUGUUUUAAACCUCGCCAUGCACGCAAGUGUAAACGUGAGCAGCACAGCUGUGUGCCUGGCUGCUUUCAGCGCGAUUCAUUAUUAGGCAGAGCUAAGCAGGUGAGUUGCUUUAUAAAAGUGUAUUUUUUUGGUCUUGUAAUUUACAGGAAACAGUACGCUGUCUUCACAACUCAGAGACAAAUUGUAGGCGCUAUGAACCGGAGCAAGGACUAACCUCGCCUCAUAACCAGGCCGUGACCUCCUAUUUGCUCGGAGCUAUGUCUGCAAGUCCAGAUUUCCAUGAUGCUGAUAAUAAUGCCAUUGUGUCUGCCUGUAAGACAUAUUAUGAGACAGCACGCAGGAGCUUCAGGUAGAAACAACCAGAUCUGGCAUCGCGGGCGGAAGCUGUGAAGAGUUCAGCUCGGUGCCGGUCGAGAAGAAAAGAGGCUGCUGGAAGCGAGACAUAGUGUGCUGGCUGCGGGUGAGGUGGACAUUUGGAAGUGUGCCACCAUAGACCUGAUGAUCCGAAAUACAGGACAACGCACCACAGACGUCUGCAAAAUGGACCGAAUUCAGACAGAAUGCCGGCAGUUAACAACAGCUCCGAGGCAGC